CAAUAUAUUUUUUAAUAUAAAUUUUUAUUUAUUUAUUUAUCUAUCUAUUUAUUUAUUUAUUUAAUAUUUGGCUGCGUUGGGUCUUUGUUGCUGCCCGCGGGCUUUCUCUCGUUGCCGCAAGCGGGGGCUGCUCUUCGUUGCAGCGGUGCGCGGGCUUCUCAUUGCCGUGGCUUCUCUUGCUGCGGAGCACUGGCUCUAGGCUCGCGGGCUUAGUUGCUCCGUGGCAUGUGGGAUCUUUCCGUGUCCCCUGCACCGGCAGACGGAUUCUUAACCACUGCGCCACCAGGGAAGCCCUAAAAUGCUUUGAAGUGUAACAGGUAUACCCUUAUUUGAAGGUUAACAUCCAUAUUUUGUUUUCUCAGUAAAUCCCUAAGUUUUUUCAACACAAGGAAAGAACUUUAGGCUACUUUGUGUCAUCUAUAUUUUUUCAUAUUUUGUUUUUAUGUUUUUUUUAUUUGUAGAGUUAAACGAAAUAUUUGAAUUGGAAUGAUAUAGAACAGACAAAUGAGCCCCAGGUGCCCAGGCCUGCUUUCCAACUUUUUUACCCAAGCUCAGGCCCACAGGAUGGUGGGUAAGCUGGCUGGGAACCCCUAAGACCCCUGUUAUUUUGUGCGGGUGCAGGACAAUGUUGCUAGAGCUUUUUUAUUAAGUUUUUAUUUUUUAAGAGACAUUAUAAAGUAUCCUAGUUUUAAAAUAUUUACAAGUCACUAAAAAAACAACUUUAAGACAUCAAGUACAACCUACAAAACAUGACUGUUGCUCAGAUUUGUCUGCAGGACUUAAGUCUGUGCCUCUUCUGAAAACAUCCUCAGUCUUGGUCUCAUAGUCCUAAAGAGCUUGGGAAGAUAGUGGGUUAAGGCCCCCUCCCGGUAGGGGUGGUUUAUCUUGGGACUGUUGGUGACAUGCAGUCCUAACCCAGAGGCAUAUUUAUAGCCCUGGAUUUGGAGUGGGAAGCCCCUUUGCUCAGACCUCAGAGUACCAUGCUGAUGAUGAGAUGCCCAGUCCACAGGGACAGAGGAAGAUAUUUUAGGUCAGGGGCCUUUCAGUGCCCCCAAGUCACACUCCAGCAGCAUUCACUUAUCUACCAGGAGGCAAGCUGCAGGACCAGAAGGUGUGACUGAAGACAGCAGAGUGGGAAGGAAGCCUGGCUGGAGGGAAAGGUCCGCCUUUGACAUUUGUAAUGCUGUGAACUGAGGGUCAGAUAUAGUCCUUUCCAUUAAGAAGUGGCUGUGAGCCAAAGAGCUCACGAGAUUUAUAACAGCUGUCACCUCCCAUGACUCGGUGGUCUGAAAAGAUUGUAUAAGGAAAGGAAUUUCCUAUGCCUCAGCAGUGUGCAAAAUGCCAGAUGAAAUUUGUGGACACUGUCUCAAGGAUAAAAAGAAAUUUCUUAAAAGAUUAUGCAAUAAGGAGAUGUUCACCCAAAACUACCCGUAGGGCUAGGACAAACGAAGGACAAAAAGGAAACAGGCUAAGUAUUCGUCUGACUUUGAGCUUAACAUAGCGAUUUAAUAAUAAUAAUAAUAUAGCUAACAUGUAUAUAGCACUUACUCUGUGUGCAGGCCUCAUUGUAACAGAUUUGGAAACAGACACAGGGAAUUCCAGGGGUCUGGGUUUGAUCCCUGGUCAGGGAACUAAGGUCCAGCAAGCCUCACGGAGUGGCCAAAAAAAAAAAGAAACAAAGACACAAAGAAAAAUUCGGUAAUUUGCCCCAAACCUCACAGUGAGAAGCUAUUACCUGUGUAGGUUGGGUGCAAGUGAAAUGUUUGAGAAAUUUAGCUAAGUUCACUUAAUAAUUCUUUUUUCUGGUAGUAGAAUAAGGAAGUUUUGUUUGUGUUGAACCGAAUAACAUUUUGUGUGUGUGUGUGUGUGUGUGUGUGGUACGCGGGCCUCUCACUGUUGUGGCCUCUCCCGUUGCAGAGCACAGGCUCCGGACGCGCAGGCUCAGCGGCCAUGGCUCACGGGCCCAGCCGCUCCGCGGCAUGUGGGAUCCUCCCAGACCGGGGCACGAACCCGUGUCCCCUGCAUCGGCAGGCGGACUCUCAACCACUGCGCCACCAGGGAAGCCCCCGAAUAACAUUUUAAACUCAUGUUUCCUGUGAGACGUUGUCCCUACUCCAACAUAAUACUGAUGCCGAUACCAGUGUGCACAGUCAAUGUGCCACGUAGAUCAAGACUCUGCACUGUGUAAAGACUUAGACCUGCCCCAUCGCGAUGCCCACGUUCUGUGCUGAGGAUCCUCUCUCAGAGCCCAGCAAGAUUCAGCAAGGAUUUGCCGGUGACAGAGCACAUAUUAAGUGUGUUCUCACAGCAGGUUGCCAACGGUGGCCCAGCCUCUGUGCCAGGGAUUGGGGAAAAAAGUUAUGUUGCUGUCUGGGUAGAAGCUAUCUUCCUUACUAAGAAAUCUGGCAGCAGAUUGGCCACCAGGACUGAGUUCUGUGAUGUCUUCCCAGCUUGGCAGGCUCCUUGUGCCUUGGGGUUCGUGGGCCAGAAGGUGAGGUGCUCUGGGCUGGCACAGGUUCAGCAGCUGCUGAGGGCAAAGAUGCACUGGGAAGACAUUGUCCCAGAGUCACAGAACAAAGGGCAGGCCCUACUUGGUGGAGGUAGGGCGAGGGUUGAGGCCUCCAAGCAUUUUGAGAAAACAGAGAAACCUAUUGUUUUGUUCUUGAGUCUGGAAUUGCACUUAAUGUACUGGCCACACAUAGUACUGUGACCAAUUCCAAGAUCAACUGCAGAUGUGAAUUAAGAGCAGGAAACAGUGCGUUCUGUCCCAAGUAAGGAAGGUGGCAGAAACCCAUCUUUCCUCUCCAAAGGGGCUCCUACAGAGAGAAUAAAUGUCCAUGUGAUAACUGGGCCCAGUGUCCAACCCCUCACCUAAUUCCAGAAGUAAAUUAAGAAUUUCUCCAAGCAGAGCAGAGAUAUACAGAGAGGCAGGCUCUGGAGGUGAUGUGGGCCCUGUUUGUGGUUUGAACAGGGCACCCCUUUCAGAGUUAUAGAGCAGAGCAGGGAGAUCAGCUGAUGUGCUGGACUCCAUGGGCCAGAAUCUGAGCAAGUUAUUUCCACCACUUGAGCCUCAAGAAAUGGCUUCUUUCUUUAGUGGAUUGCCACUGGAGACAGAGGACUCUAGCCUCAGGACUGCCCUAAGGAAAGGGCCAUGGUAAUUCUUCCCACAUGAAUCUUGCUCUCGUGCCUAGAAGUUUCCCUGACUUUCUAGAGAAAGCCAGCUUGGUGUCAAAUUAAUUUUGACAAAUUGUGCUGAAGGCCUAAGAAAGGCAGACAUAAAAGGGUAGGAAUCAGGGUACAAAACUCAAAACUGCAGCCAGAGAGACGGGCAGGGCAGCCAAAGGAGAGGCAAGAAUUUUGUACAUACCAAGGACUUGAAGUCAGAAAUGGAAGACUCAGAGCUUGCUCUGAAGGAAAAGAGUCGAGGCAGGAGAUAGUGCAGGCUUGCCCCUCUGACCACAGGCCCAGGCUCAUCUCAGAGACCUUGAGGGCCCUGUGUGGACAAGCAGGGGGCCACAUCUGCUCCUGGUGCUGGAAGGGUCUCCCUUCUCUUGCUCACAGCCUUCCCUGCUCCUGGCAGCUUCAAGAUCUAGUCCAGCUCUUAGCGUGGCAUUCAAAGCCUUGCCCUCUUGGCCACAGCCUGCCCCUCCGGCUUCACCACCCCAAAGAGGCAAAGCCCCCAGCCAGGGCCUGUGUGCCUCCUUGCCUGAAAUGCCCACCCCCAUCCGUCUCCUCUGAGGUUGGAACCUUCCAAGCCCCAGCACAGUCUCUCUAUGAGUGAGCCCCUCACCUCCCAGGACCACCUCUGUCUCUCUCUCUCCUUGGCCCAAAGCCCUGGCCCUGGCAGCUCUCUAGGCCCAGGAGUCUCUCACUUAGGUGUGUCUGACAGUUGCCUGAGAGGAUAUUAAAAUACAACUGCCUGGUCCCCAGUCUGGGUGAUCUCGUUCCUGAGCUCCACGGGGGUCGUGUGCACACCCACGGGGGAGGUCCACUGGUCUCAGCCACUCCUUAGUAAGUCUGCCUGUGAACCAGGUACCCAUUUGGGUCCUCCAACCCAGGUAUGCAGGAACCACACUUCAUUUCUCAAUAACAGCCUCAUUUCUGUUUCAAGCCCCCCUUCCCCCGGGGGUGAUGGAAACUUAAUUGUCAGUUUAGGGGCUUCCCACCCUCACCUGUGGGCCCUGGGCAGCCACACAUUUCCUAGCAAGAUUGUGUUGGUGAUGGAGAAGGUGUUUAUUCACAGAGGAGAAGCUGACAAACCUCCUGGAGCAAAGGCCAGGUCCUCUUUCUUACUCUGGCCUUGAUGCAGCAGGGUCACGCUCUCCCAGGGGAGGGAAGCAGCGGAUGCCAGGCAAGACUAAGAACAGAUCGGCCUGUGGCAGUGGGGACCAGAACCCAGUGGAAGGAAGGGUCAUGAAGGGGUACACUCAAAUUUACGUAAAACUGACAUCCUCUCCCCAAACCUUGCUUCCUCUCCUGACUUCUCCUGACCUCCUGUUGUUGGGACUGUUCUUCAAAAUCCUAGAGUCAUCUUUACUCCUUUCUCUCCUUUAAUUCCAGAAUAGUAUGGAAAUUUAGAGGUUAUUUUGCCCAGUCCCUCCACUUUCCAGGUGAAGAGAUUGUGGCAAUUUCUGGCAAACCCAGAAUUAGAUCCCAGAUCAUGUCAUGGACAUGAAGUCCAGUCCUCUUAGCCCAAAGACUUCCUGUCCUUCACAUAGUUAUGUGUCCUCCACAUAGUUAUGUGUCCUCGUCCCUUCUGUGGCCACCACCUGACAAAGCUCCCCUCACCUCCUGCGUGGAUCACGGUGACAGUGACCAAUACUAAUGUGUGACACUUUGCUCCUGGCAUCCAUGGAAUGCCUUCUCUCCUUCCCAUCCCUUACAUCCUACUCAUCCUCCAAGGUCAGCUCAAAUGCCACCUCUUCCAAAAUUACGUGCUGGUCCGACGUGUCCUCUCCCCCUCCAGCUGCAUUUAGCACCACGCCCCAACGGCUCACGGCAGGUGAGACGGUAGGCAGGCUGCACCUGUACGCUAUUCAGUUUUCUGUAAUUAGAUGAGAAAUUCCUAAGAGCAGGGAUUGCCUUACACUUCUUGGUUUCCCCUACAGGGCCUGGCAUCGAGGACUACAUGAUAAAAUUUCAGUUGCUGCUUUUUGGUAUAUGCUAAGACGGGAAACUUUAGCAAAAUGCUUAGAGGUGGCCACUAAGCCGCUGGCCCAAGUGAACUGGGAACACAAACUGAGAAGGAAAUGUUUAAUUUCUGGGGUAAGCAAGCUCCAAGAGUGGCUGAGGGUGAGGGAAAGAACUGAUACAGUCCAGCAGGAGUCUUCUUCCAGGACAAGAGGAAAGGCUCUGCAUACCAAGGACCUGACGUCAGAAAUGGGAGGGUGGAGGCUCGCUGCAGGGGGGGACGCGGGGGAGGUGCAGGUGGAGGCAGGAGGUAACCAGCUCGCCACUGGGACCUCAGGUCCAGGGUCACCUGCCCCCAGAUGCACAGAUGUGCAUCUGGCUGAGACUCUGGCUGAGCCACUGGCCCCAGCUGGACUUCUGGGGCUCUAAGGUGACCACUGCUCUUCCUGGGGCUGAGAAGCAUAAGGGUCCCUGCUCUGUGGCCUCACGUUCAGUCUGGGACUGCAGCCUGACUCCCCAGCUUCCCUAGUCUGGCUUCAGCCGCUGCUCCCACUUGAUUCUCUUCAGUCCACGUUCCCGGACAGGCCCCACACGGUCCCUCGGCUCUACUGGCUCAGUCAGUACACAGGGGACUCCGAGACUCACCCGCAGGGCAUCCACCUUGGGCACUUGGGAGCUCACUGUUUUCCAGUGUCUGGUACCCCGUAGGUGCUCAAUUACAUUGUUUAACGAGUGAGUCAUCAUUCUGGGGUUCAGCUCACUGAGCCUCCCCUUUGAAGCCCCGACUGUCAGCCCAGGGUCAGCAUCAGAAAGAAAAUCCCUGUUUCUGAGUCCUUGUGUCUUCUCCUCACCUCAGCCCCCUGCUGUCUGGCUGUCCUCUCACCAUGGUGAGGGGCUGCUGCCCCAGAAGCGGGGCCUGGCAGACAGGGCAACCUUGGUGGAGGGUGAGGGGCAGUUAUGCCCAGCACUGCCUGCCAGUCUCUCACUUCAGAGCCUGUCCUCAUCUCAGAAACUCCAGGAUGCAGAGGGAGAGCAGCUCUGCGGUUUAAUUGGCCUGCAGAAAGCCACCCUGAUACCUUCCCCCAGUGUGGACAAGGAGGCCCUGGCCUGCUCUGCACCCUGCCAGGAACCUGUCAUCAGCAGCUGAUUCCACUCCCCAGCUCGUGGACCAGGAUUGCUGCAGAUCUGAACACCCUAGGGAGGCAAGUCCCUGCCCACUUACUGAUCACUGAGAACAGGUGGGUCCUGAAGGUCAGACCAGACCUAUUUGUGGGGAGGCAAAGCACAAGAUUCUGGAGAGAAUUAAGAGAAAACACUCCCAUCUUAGCCUCCAUCUGCCUGGCUAGGGCUGGGCAUGGAUGUCAGGCAGAGCAAGGGAACUUUUACUCAAAGCAAAAUAACCAACAAAGAUCAUUUGUUGGGGAUGGACCCCUCAUAAAAGCAGCUGAGAGAUGCAUUCAGAUCUGAGCCCAAGGCUCUUGGUGGGGUCGGCAGUGUGCCGUGCUCCGGAAGCCCCGGCUUCUCUUGGUGAAGUUGCAGGGCUCAGAGGAGACUGGGGCUCAGGCAGAGGACAGUGGCCUCAGGUCCUGAGCAAGGGCAUCUCCAGGGGAUCUAUUCUGACUGAGGCAGGAGACAGAUGGGCCCCCGGGGCAAACAGUUUGAGUUCGUUCCUUGUGGACCGAUACUCCGUGGAGACGGGAAUAACAGGACAGUUGAGAGAGGAGGCUGGGCCCUGCCCAGAUAGAAGAUAAGAGACCACAUAUUCCUCAUUAUCGAAGUCAGAAGACCUCCCCGACUACACAUGCACAGAAAGGCUGCUUGGAGGUCAAAAGGGGUAUGGUGCCAACUAAUGCUCACUUACCUUCAGGCCACUUCGGUAGAAUCCAUCUUGGCUAAGAGAUGUGCGUGCACACAUGGGAAAAUCCUGAGCUAUACCAAAUUCAGAUUUUGAACCAGGCAAAUCAAAAUGAUUGGCCAAAGAAAACCUGGAAAAAGUGCCCCAUAUAAGUGAUUUAAACUGCCACGAGGGCGCGACUCUUUCUGCGCCCGCCCGUGUGUCUAUCCACACGUACUGUACUUCUUUUUUCUCCUAAUAAAUACUUGUUUCAUCACUUUCCAUCUCUGUGGGAAUUCUUUUUCUGCAAAGCCGUAGGGCCCGGGCCUUGUCACUGACCACUGAUCUAGUGCCUAGGAUUCGGUGCUCUCACCGCCGCAACCCGACCUCAAUCACUGGCCAGGAACCGAAACCCUGCUUCAAGCCGUUGCAGGCCGAGGCCACCCGAGAUCAUGACCACUCUCCCAAAGCAGUGCAGUGGGAGCUCGCGGGGCAGCCGAGCCCUCCUGCACAGACCCACAUCUCUGGGACAAGCUCUUCAGAGCUGAGGGCUGUGAGCACAGGUUAGCGGUGGGGUGGGUCAAGUUAGGACCAGCAGGUGCGUCACUGCCCUGCCCUGGCCACAACCAAGACUCUUGCACCUUCCUCCUCACCCUAUCCAUUCUCCUCUGGCUUCAGUCCUUUACACUGAAGCGGAUUUUUAAAAAUAGGUAAAGCAGUGGUGAUCAUUUUGUAAUGUAUAAAAAUAUUGAAUCACUAUGUGGUACUCCUGAAACUAAUAAAACGUUUUAAGUCAAUUAUACUUCACUUAAAAAAAAUAAAAAUAGGUAAAGCACAUGGUGCACAGUACAACGCGUCUCCCUGCUUUCCCCCCUUACCCCUGCCCCUCGCUGGCCACAUCCGCGGGUCCUUACUAAGAUGGCAUACGCGUGUGCAAGCAUACAAGUCAGUAGCCUCCUUUUCUAUCUUCUUUUGGUUACAGAGACUCCUCUGAGAAUCUGAAAAAGCCUGGGUUCUUCCCUAAAGUAGGGUACACACAUGCACAAAAUUAGCGUACAACUUCAGGGGUUCACACACUCUCUGUGGUCCAUUUUGUCCUCCUGAACAAGGGAUUCUGGUUGUGAUUUAAAGCAACUGGGCCUGAGCCACCUCCUAUCUCCUCAGUGCCAUACUCCCAACAUACACACAUCCCCCGACUACCAGGAUCUUGACAAAAUCUCAACAAGGGAGCUCUUCUAAGGCUUUGACAAAACGGCUGAGGCAGGCAAGCCGUUUAGUGCCUUCUCUCAAUAGCUUCCUAUUAUAUUUAGAAUAAAAUAAAAUCUAAACUCUUAACAUGGCCUCGAAAGCCCUCCUCUCAUGCCUGGUCUGACCUGAGCUUCCUUUCCUGGUCUCAUCCCACCACUAGUACCCUCCCCUCACGCUGCUCUAGCCACACCCACCUUCCUUCUGUUCCACCUUCUUUCUGUUCCAUAUUUGUUUUUUUUUUGGGGGGGGUGGUACGCGGGCCUCUCACUGUUGUGGCCUCUCCUGCUGCGGAGCACAGGCUCCAGACGCGCAGGCUCAGCGGCCAUGG